CCUUCACAAAUUUAAUCUAAAAAUUUAUUGCUAUUAGGUUAUAUAAAAACACCACCUCCUGCUAGCAANUUUGUUGUACUUUUUUUAAGAAUGUUGAAGGUUUGAUUUUACUAGACUUGUAAAACUAUUGUUUUCUUAUCAAUAAUAUCAUGAGUACUAGACUAUAGAUCUUAGAGCCUGUUUGGUUCAGCUUUUCACCACUAAGACGUGAUUCUACAACCCUCAAAAGUGAAAAGCUGAAUUUUCAAUGGUGUUUGGUUUGGCUUUUAAGAAUUGAUUCUAUCCUCCAAAAGCAAUUAUCCAUGAAGCUACAAAUCCUAACUUUUGGCUUUUGUAGAAUCAAUUCUACAUUAAACUAUUAUCAAUUCCAUAACUACCCUCUUAAUUAUCAUCAAUUUUUAUCACCCUUUCUCCAACCAUAUUUGAUUUUAUCUACAUGGAACCUUAAAUUCAUUCAAUCCACUGUCAACUUUUCUCUAGCUAGAACUCAACCACCCUUCACAAAUUUAAUCUAAAAAUUUAUUGCUAUUAGGUUAUAUAACAACACCACCUCCUGCUAGCAAAUAUUGUGCUCAAGAGAACAACAAAAAGGAAAAAUUCUGCUCAAAAGAUAACAACAACAACAAGGUAAUUUGGCAUUUUUGAGUGAUUUUUACUUUGAUUUGCUUACUUGUUUGUAUUAAAUUUAACCUUUUUUCUUUGC
rnacentral:lncRNA from 1 species